UGAGAAUUAAGUUUUUAGAAUAAAGACUUUGGGUGUCUUAGGAUAUAUUUUUAA
rnacentral:tRNA from 1 species